rnacentral:rRNA from 1 species
CUACGGGGUGCUGCAGUGGGGAAUAUUGCACAAUGGGCGCAAGCCUGAUGCAGCCAUGCCGCGUGUAUGAAGAAGGCCUUCGGGUUGUAAAGUACUUUCAGCGGGGAGGAAGGGAGUAAAGUUAAUACCUUUGCUCAUUGACGUUACCCGCAGAAGAAGCACCGGCUAACUCCGUGCCAGCAGCCGCGGUAAUACGGAGGGUGCAAGCGUUAAUCGGAAUUACUGGGCGUAAAGCGCACGCAGGCGGUUUGUUAAGUCAGAUGUGAAAUCCCCUGGCUCAACCUGGGAACUGCAUCUGAUACUGGCAAGCUUGAGUCUCGUAGAGGGGGGUAGAAUUCCAGGUGUAGCGGUGAAAUGCGUGGAGAUCUGGAGGAAUACCGGUGGCGAAGGCGGCCCCCUGGACGAAGACUGACGCUCAGGUGCGAAAGCGUGGGGAGCAAACAGGAUUAGAUACCCCGAUAGUC